GUCUGAUUGGCUGCUCUGGGGCUGGGCCCACAGUGGCCAGAGGUCAGGUGCCUCCAGAACUGCAUGUGAAGGGCAGGGGGCCAGCCUCAGAGAGAGGAGAACCGAGGUGCUCUGAGCAGAAGAGGCUAUGCACUGAUUGGGCAGAGCAACAGGUGUUACCCUAGAGCCGUCAUGUGCUGUUAACAGAAAUGCCAUGUGCUCUCUCUUACAGGACUCCUCUCCGAAGACCCAGGCUGGCAGACAUUGUCACCAACCACGUGGGGAAUUGAAGCAAAGGCCUCUGAAACUGCAAAACCCACUGAAAUGGAUUUUGAGAAGAAUACCCAGGUGUCUGGACACCUGAGGAAUCCAUUUCCAAAAUGCCGAGCUGUUUCUCCAGCAUCGAGACUGCCUGCAGCCCUGCCAUGGCUUGUGAGCCCUGGGAGGAUCGGGAG
ensembl:lncRNA